rnacentral:tRNA from 1 species
AAUUAAUGAGCUUGUAAAUUAAGCAUAUGUUUUGAAAACAUAAUAAAGAAAAUAAAUAUUUCUAUUAAUUU